rnacentral:rRNA from 1 species
AAAGCGUGCGCAGGCGGUUUUGUAAGACUGUCGUGAAAUCCCCGGGCUCAACCUGGGAAUGGCGAUGGUGACUGCAAGGCUAGAGUUUGGCAGAGGGGGGUAGAAUUCCACGUGUAGCAGUGAAAUGCGUAGAUAUGUGGAGGAACACCGAUGGCGAAGGCAGCCCCCUGGGUCAAAACUGACGCUCAUGCACGAAAGCGUGGGGAGCAAACAGGAUUAGAUACCCGUGA